GGGAAAAGUUUUAGUCAGAUCGACAUCCUCCCUCCAAUCAGCAAUUUGACAACUCAACCUCAGAUAACAGAAGAUGAAAUCCUUCACCAUUGCAUUCCUUCUGGUCAUUUUUGUUGUGAGUAUGGUCCUGGUAUCUGACGUCGCUGAAGCCAAAUGCAAGAGCAGCAGUGGUGGGCUGACCUCGGCCCUGGCGUUACUUAUCGCGUCUGGCGCCCUCGCCCCACCCGCCGCCGGUGGUGGCAUUGCUCCCGGAAAAUAAUUCCUCGGCGAUGGCAACCAAACACGAACUGUAACAGCAGCACCGCAACCUGUGAGAGAGAACAACAACGAUGAAGACGUACAACCACUGAAAACCUACCUGCCUCUCACAGUUGUGUGUGUUGCUGAUGUAUGAAUGUGCAACAACUGAAUAAAGUGUUAUAAAU